GAUGAACGCUAGCGACAGGCUUAACACAUGCAAGUCGAGGGGCAGCGGGAGGAAAGCUUGCUUUCCUUGCCGGCGACCGGCGCACGGGUGAGUAACACGUAUGCAACCUGCCCAUGACAGGGGGAUAAGCGGGAGAAAUCCCGUCUAAUACCGCAUAACACCCCCGGGAGACAUCUCCCGGGAGUCAAAGGAGCGAUCCGGUCAUGGAUGGGCAUGCGGCGCAUUAGCCAGUUGGCGGGGUAACGGCCCACCAAGGCGACGAUGCGUAGGGGUUCUGAGAGGAAGGUCCCCCACACUGGUACUGAGACACGGACCAG
rnacentral:rRNA from 1 species